GAUGAACGCUGGCGGCGUGCCUAAUACAUGCAAGUCGAGCGAACAGACGAGGAGCUUGCUCCUCUGACGUUAGCGGCGGACGGGUGAGUAACACGUGGAUAACCUACCUAUAAGACUGGGAUAACUUCGGGAAACCGGAGCUAAUACCGGAUAAUAUAUUGAACCGCAUGGUUCAAUAGUGAAAGACGGUUUUGCUGUCACUUAUAGAUGGAUCCGCGCCGCAUUAGCUAGUUGGUGAGGUAACGGCUUACCAAGGCAACGAUGCGUAGCCGACCUGAGAGGGUGAUCGGCCACACUGGAACUGAGACACGGUCCAGACUCCUACGGGAGGCAGCAGUAGGGAAUCUUCCGCAAUGGGCGAAAGCCUGACGGAUCAACGCCGCGUGAGUGAUGAAGGUCUUCGGAUCGUAAAACUCUGUUAUUAGGGAAGAACAAAUGUGUAAGUAACUAUGCACGUCUUGACGGUACCUAAUCAGAAAGCCACGGCUAACUACGUG
rnacentral:rRNA from 1 species